UACGUAGGGUGCAAGCGUUAAUCGGAAUUACUGGGCGUAAAGCGUGCGCAGGCGGUUGGGCAAGACAGAUGUGAAAUCCCCGGGCUUAACCUGGGAAUGGCAUUUGUGACUGCCCGGCUAGAGUGUGUCAGAGGGGGGUAGAAUUCCGACGUGUAGCAGUGAAAUGCGUAGAGAUGUGGAGGAAUACCGAUGGCGAAGGCAGCCCCCUGGGAUAACACUGACGCUCAUGCACGAAAGCGUGGGGAGCAAACAGG
rnacentral:rRNA from 1 species